GAGUUUGAUCAUGGCUCAGAUUGAACGCUGGCGGCAGGCCUAACACAUGCAAGUCGAGCGGAUGACGGGAGCUUGCUCCUUGAUUCAGCGGCGGACGGGUGAGUAAUGCCUGGGAAUCUGCCUGGUAGUGGGGGACAACGUUUCGAAAGGAACGCUAAUACCGCAUACGUCCUACGGGAGAAAGCAGGGGACCUUCGGGCCUUGCGCUAUCAGAUGAGCCUAGGUCGGAUUAGCUAGUUGGUGGGGUAAUGGCUCACCAAGGCGACGAUCCGUAACUGGUCUGAGAGGAUGAUCAGUCACACUGGAACUGAGACACGGUCCAGACUCCUACGGGAGGCGGCAGUGGGGAAUAUUGGACAAUAGGCGAAAGCCUGAUCCAGCCAUGCCGCGUGUGUGAAGAAGGUCUUCGGAUUGUAAAGCACUUUAAGUUGGGAGGAAGGGCAGUAAGUUAAUACCUUGCUGUUUUGACGUUACCGACAGAAUAAGCACCGGCUAACUCUGUGCCAGCAGCCG
rnacentral:rRNA from 1 species